UUACACAUGCAAGUCGAACGGUAACAGGUCUUCGGACGCUGACGAGUGGCGAAGGGGUGAGUAAUACAUCGGAACGUGCCCAGUCGUGGGGGAUAACUACUCGAAAGAGUAGCUAAUACCGCAUACGAUCUGAGGAUGAAAGCGGGGGACCUUCGGGCCUCGCGCGAUUGGAGCGGCCGAUGGCAGAUUAGGUAGUUGGUGGGAUAAAAGCUUACCAAGCCGACGAUCUGUAGCUGGUCUGAGAGGACGACCAGCCACACUGGGACUGAGACACGGCCCAAACUCCUACGGGAGGCAGCAGUGGGGAAUUUUGGACAAUGGGCGAAAGCCUGAUCCAGCAAUGCCGCGUGCAGGAUGAAGGCCUUCGGGUUGUAAACUGCUUUUGUACGGAACGAAAAAGCUCCUUCUAAUACAGGGGGCCCAUGACGGUACCGUAAGAAUAAGCACCGGCUAACUACGUGCCAGCAGCCGCGGUAAUACGUAGGGUGCGAGCGUUAAUCGGAAUUACUGGGCGUAAAGCGUGCGCAGGCGGUUAUGUAAGACAGAUGUGAAAUCCCCGGGCUCAACCUGGGAACUGCAUUUGUGACUGCAUGGCUAGAGUACGGUAGAGGGGGAUGGAAUUCCGCGUGUAGCAGUGAAAUGCGUAGAUAUGCGGAGGAACACCGAUGGCGAAGGCAAUCCCCUGGACCUGUACUGACGCUCAUGCACGAAAGCGUGGGGAGCAAACAGGAUUAGAUACCCUGGUAGUCCACGCCCUAAACGAUGUCAACUGGUUGUUGGGAAUUAGUUUUCUCAUAAACGAAGCUAACGCGUGAAGUUGACCGCCUGGGGAGUACGGCCGCAAGGUUGAAAACUCAAAGGAUUGACGGGGGACCCCGCACAAGCGGUGGAAUGAUGUGGUUUAAUUUCGAUGCAA
rnacentral:rRNA from 1 species